CUAUGAUUUACACCUACACGGCAACUCGCUCCCCAUAUCCUCCAUUGCAAUUCAGAACUCGCAAGGCGACAAACAUAUCCGUUUCUUAUACAUAUUCACUCUCUCUCUUCAGAUAUAUGUAUAUUUUAUUCGCAUACAUGACACAUACAAUUGUAUACAAUUAAAUUUCUCAUUUCUAUUCUCAGAUAUAUUAGGAGCUAACAUUGGAAACCCUAAAAUCCAAAUUUCGUAUUCAGACUUCGCUGAACGCAACUUUGUCACAAAUUCAAUAGUGAUUCGAUCAAGUUCGUACUGGAAUCACUUCCAUACAUUCAUCUAACAACAUGUAAGCAUUCUCAAAAUUCAAUUCAAUUCAAUUCAAUUCAAUUCAAUUCAAUUCAAUUUCUCUCUCUAUUCAUGGCUUGCAAUUGCACUCUCACUACUUCAUUUUUUCCCUCUCUUCCUUUGCUUAGUCUACCAAAAACUCGAACUGCAAAACGUUCUCUUCGCAUUCGAAGCUCAAUCACUUGCCAUUUCGAUAGCUUCGAGUCUGAUGAAGACUCGGAAUCUAGAAAAAAUCGAUUGAAUUUUCUAAAACUCUCUGUAACACUCACUUUAGUCUCAGCUUCACUGCCACAGCCCUCUUUAGCGGCAAAAGUAUCUGAAAAGAGGCGUUCUGCGAAAAAAGUGGAAGCAUUGACACCACAAGAAUUGAAAUCAUGGUCGCAAGGACUCCCUGUAGUGACGAAUCGAAUGCCUUACACGGAAAUAUUGAAUUUGAAACAAGAGGGUAAGCUCAAACACAUUGUUAAACCCCCUAGUGUAGGUUUGAAGCAAAGGCCAGAGGUGGUUUUAGCAGUAUUGGAAGAUUCUAGGGUUGUUAGGAUUGUGUUGCCGUCCAUAGAGAGUGAUCCCAAGUUUUGGGAAUCAUGGGAUGAAUUGGAGCUUGAUUCUGUUUGUGUAAAUGCUUAUACUCCACCGAUUAAGAAACCCCAAAUUCCAUCGCCCUAUUUAGGGUUUUUGUCCAAAAUUCCUGCUUGGAUGUUUUCAUUCAUGAAGUCGAAGCCGCAGUCAAAGAAAGCCUUGGAGUUUAAGAAGAUGAGGGAGGAGCUGAAACAAAAGAAGAAUGAGGAACUGUCAAGGAUGAAGCAAGAGAGGGAGAUGAUAGAUAGGGCGAUUAAGAUGCAGAAGAAGAUGGAAGACAGGAAAAGGAAACAAGAAUUAAAGAAGGUCAAGUCUGAGCAGUCUUUGCGUCAAGCACGGAGGAAUUAUAUGCAAAUGGCGAACAUGUGGGAAAACUUAGCUAGUGAUUCGAAUGUUGCAACCGCGCUUGGGUUGGUUUUCUUCGUUAUAUUUUAUCAGACAGUUGUUCUUAGCUAUAGGAGGCAGAAGAAGGAUUAUGAGGAUAGGUUGAAAAUUGAGAAAGCAGAGGCAGAUGAGAGGAAGAAAAUGAGGGAGCUAGAGAAGGAAAUGGCAGGAAUUGAGGGUGAAGAUGAUGAAAAUGAGGAAGGGGGAGGUGAGCAGAAUCCUUAUAUGAAGAUGGCCAUGCAGUUCAUGAGAUCAGGUGCUCGUGUUCGUCGGGCACAUAACAAGAGACUUCCUCAGUUUUUGGAGAGAGAUGUAGAUGUGAAAUUUACAGAUGUUGCAGGUCUUGGGAAAAUAAGGCUUGAGCUUGAGGAGAUUGUUAAGUUCUUUACCCAUGGGGAAAUGUACAGACGAAGAGGAGUGAGAAUACCAGGUGGCAUACUUCUUUGUGGUCCCCCUGGGGUUGGGAAGACUUUAUUAGCAAAAGCUGUUGCUGGUGAGGCAGGUGUCAACUUUUUCUCCAUUUCUGCCUCUCAGUUUGUGGAGAUAUAUGUUGGGGUUGGUGCUUCUCGUGUCCGUGCACUUUACCAAGAAGCAAGGGAAAAUGCUCCAUCUGUUGUCUUCAUUGAUGAAUUGGAUGCAGUUGGAAGGGAACGUGGUUUGAUUAAGGGUUCUGGUGGACAAGAACGAGAUGCCACUCUUAAUCAGCUCCUUGUGUGCUUGGAUGGGUUUGAAGGUAGAGGGAAUGUGAUCACUAUUGCUUCCACAAAUAGGCCUGAUAUUCUAGAUCCAGCUCUUGUGAGACCUGGACGGUUUGAUCGAAAAAUAUAUAUUCCUAAACCUGGCCUAAUAGGUCGCAUUGAAAUUCUGAAGGUCCACGCACGUAAGAAGCCAAUGGCUGACGAUGUGGACUAUAUGGCUGUUGCCAGUAUAACUGAUGGAAUGGUUGGUGCAGAGCUAGCCAACAUAGUUGAGGUUGCUGCUAUUAAUAUGAUGCGUGAUGGAAGAACUGAGAUUACGACUGAUGACUUGAUACAAGCCGCACAAAUAGAAGAAAGAGGAACGCUUGAUAGAAAGGAAAGGAGUCCUGAGUUGUGGAAGCAAGUAGCUAUUAAUGAAGCGGCAAUGGCUGUAGUAGCCGUGAAUUUCCCUGAUCUUAGGAACAUUGAGUUUGUCACUAUUGCUCCUAGAGCUGGCAGGGAAUUGGGUUAUGUCCGGAUGAAAAUGGAUCACUUGAAAUUCAAGGAGGGAAUGCUCAGUCGGCAAUCCCUUUUGGAUCAUAUCACUGUUCAACUAGCUCCUCGUGCAGCUGAUGAGAUUUGGUAUGGUGAGGGUCAGCUUUUACAGGUUAACCUUUUCCGAGCACGCCUGCUAUUUUCAUGUAGGCUAGCAGUGUGAUAUAAUUCUACCAUGGGUCAUAUGAUUAGUAGAAGUCGGUUAUCGUUGUUUGGAGAUGAGGUGCCAUGGUUCAUCUUUUCAGUCACUCCACCUCCAGAAAAGGGGAUCCUAUUGAAUUCUUUUAUGUUCUUGGAUAUGCAUAUAGUUAGCACAUCAUCCUUUUGAUAAGUGACACCAGUUUGCAUCUUCUAGAGAAUGUAUUACAGUUCCUUGAGACGAGAAUGCACUACAGUUAUGUUGAGUUAUUUAAGAUAACCAGAUAUGAUCUUUAAAGAAGUUACUUGGUGCCCAUGCUUUUCAAACUAACAUUUUUUUUAGAAAUAUCAGGUACAGGUCAUGAAUUUUUAUUUUAUUUUCUUGGAAAGAGGUCAUGAUUUUUUAUGAAAUAUAUAUAGGAUUAGAAAAGUGAGAUUGUUUAUUCCACCCACCCCUAACUUCUUGUUGUGAGCAGCUAAAUACUAGCAAGAAGAUAAACUAAUCAAUUCUAUUGACCAUCAGAAUUUUGAAAUUACCUGCUCCUAGAGGAAUGUUCAUGCACUCAACUGUGCUCUAGCUUUAGCAUGUGAUCAUUUUGGCUUUGAAAACAAGUGCUUUAUUUGUACACUCUUCACUCUAAAAUAAUGACCUGUGUAUAAGUAGCCUAGCGAUAACUUGGAGCCACUAUGGAGUGGAGAGCAGGGUUCAAAUCUGACCAUAAAACAGAUAAUUGAUUUAAUAAAUCAGUGAAGGGACUUGCACGGUGUUCAGUGUUUGAACAUUAUCCUUUCUGUCAUGUUAUGAGAAUUUUAUUCCAUCUUCAGGACUGAGAUUUUUGUGGUUAUGAAAUUAUGUUUCAUUGGGAUUUCAUAAGUUUAAGCUUCUGCACAUCAAUAUCCUAAUGCUACAAAGUAUUGCAGCUGAGUACGAUGUGGGCAGAAACAGCAGAUAAUGCAAGGUCGGCAGCACGGACUUUUGUUCUUGGUGGUCUUUCAGAGAAACACUACGGUUUAUCAAAUUUCUGGGUUGCAGAUCGAAUGAAUGACAUUGAUUUGGAGGCAUUGCGGAUC